UAAGGCCCCUUCGGGGGUACACGAGCGGCGAACGGGUGAGUAACACGUGGGUGACCUGCCCUCAGCUCUGGGAUAAGCCCGGGAAACUGGGUCUAAUACCGGAUAUGACCUGCUGUUGCAUGACAGUGGGUGGAAAGUUUUUUCGGCUGAGGAUGGGCCCGCGGCCUAUCAGCUUGUUGGUGGGGUGAUGGCCUACCAAGGCGACGACGGGUAGCCGGCCUGAGAGGGCGACCGGCCACACUGGGACUGAGAUACGGCCCAGACUCCUACGGGAGGCAGCAGUGGGGAAUAUUGCGCAAUGGGCGAAAGCCUGACGCAGCGACGCCGCGUGGGGGAUGACGGCCUUCGGGUUGUAAACCUCUUUCGACCGGGACGAAGGGAAACUGACGGUACCGGUAGAAGAAGCACCGGCCAACUACGUGCCAGCAGCCGCGGUAAUACGUAGGGUGCGAGCGUUGUCCGGAAUUAUUGGGCGUAAAGAGCUCGUAGGCGGUGUGUCACGUCGGUCGUGAAAACUUGGGGCUCAACCCUGAGCGUGCGGUCGAUACGGGCAUCACUUGAGUUCGGCAGGGGAGACUGGAAUUCCUGGUGUAGCGGUGAAAUGCGCAGAUAUCAGGAGGAACACCGGUGGCGAAGGCGGGUCUCUGGGCCGAUACUGACGCUGAGGAGCGAAAGCGUGGGGAGCGAACAGGAUUAGAUA
rnacentral:rRNA from 1 species